rnacentral:lncRNA from 1 species
AAAUGAGUGACGUCAUAGAACAACGUCAUAGCUACAACUUGAAAAAUAUUAUGACAAAUAUCGACCAUACUAUUUUCUUAAGCUAACGGUGCUCGAUGCUCUACUUGGUUUAAUAUUUUAGGACUAUCUAUAAUCUAUCACUUUGGGUGCCUUACUGGAAUAUUCCAAUCACCUUGUAGGCGCGCACUAGAUUAUGAAGAGUACUUUAUAUUUUUCUUAUUCUUUGGUGCGAAAGACGAAUUGUACAAGAACGAACUUGUAAUAUUUGCACACCAUUCAUUGACACCAGAACCCUAUAAGGGCUUUUAGGGCUCUGAAAGACACUAAAGGAUUGAUUAAGUGCCUUGACUAUUGUAAGGCAUAUUUAUAUGACAUUAACAUUUAAAAUUAUUUUCUUAUUUAUCAA